rnacentral:rRNA from 1 species
CCUACGGGAGGCAGCAGUGAGGAAUAUUGGUCAAUGGGCGAGAGCCUGAACCAGCCAAGUCGCGUGAAGGAUGACGGCCCUACGGGUUGUAAACUUCUUUUGUCGGGGAGCAACAGACGCCACGCGUGGCGUUCCGAGAGUACCCGAAGAAAAAGCAUUGGCUAACACCGUGCCAGCAGCCGCGGUAAUACGGAGGAUUCGAGCGUUAUCCGGAUUUAUUGGGUUUAAAGGGUGCGCAGGCGGAAGAUCAAGUCAGCGGUAAAAUUGAGAGGCUCAACCUCUUCGAGCCGUUGAAACUGGUUUUCUUGAGUGAGUGAGAAGUAUGCGGAAUGCGUGGUGUAGCGGUGAAAUGCAUAGAGAUCACGCAGAACUCCGAUUGCGAAGGCAGCAUACCGGCGCGCAACUGACGCUCAUGCACGAAAGUGUGGGUAUCGAACAGGAUUAGAUACCCGAGUAGUC